rnacentral:rRNA from 1 species
UGGGGAAUUUUGGACAAUGGGGGCAACCCUGAUCCAGCAAUGCCGCGUGAGUGAAGAAGGCCUUCGGGUUGUAAAGCUCUUUUGUCAGGGAAGAAACACCGGCUCUAACACAGUCCGGGAAUGACGGUACCUGAAGAAUAAGCACCGGCUAACUACGUGCCAGCAGCCGCGGUAAUACGUAGGGUGCAAGCGUUAAUCGGAAUUACUGGGCGUAAAGCGUGCGCAGGCGGUUAUACAAGACAGGCGUGAAAUCCCCGGGCUUAACCUGGGAAUGGCGCCUGUGACUGUAUAGCUAGAGUGUGUCAGAGGGGGGUAGAAUUCCACGUGUAGCAGUGAAAUGCGUAGAUAUGUGGAGGAAUACCAAUGGCGAAGGCAGCCCCCUGGGAUAACACUGACGCUCAUGCACGAAAGCGUGGGGAGCAAACAGGAUUAGAUACCCUGGUAGUCCACGCCCUAAACGAUGCUGACUAGUUGUUCGGGAUUUACAUCCUGAGUAACGUAGCUAACGCGUGAAGUUGACCGCCUGGGGAGUACGGCCGCAAGGUUG